CCUACGGGAGGCUGCAGUAGGGAAUCUUCCACAAUGGGCGAAAGCCUGAUGGAGCAACGCCGCGUGGGUGAAGAAGGUCUUCGGAUCGUAAAACCCUGUUGUUAGAGAAGAAAGUGCGUGAGAGUAACUGUUCACGUUUCGACGGUAUCUAACCAGAAAGCCACGGCUAACUACGUGCCAGCAGCCGCGGUAAUACGUAGGUGGCAAGCGUUAUCCGGAUUUAUUGGGCGUAAAGGGAACGCAGGCGGUCUUUUAAGUCUGAUGUGAAAGCCUUCGGCUUAACCGGAGUAGUGCAUUGGAAACUGGGAGACUGGAGGGCAGAAGAGGAGAGUGGAACUCCAUGUGUAGCGGUGAAAUGCGUAGAUAUAUGGAAGAACACCAGUGGCGAAAGCGGCUCUCUGGUCUGUAACUGACGCUGAGGUUCGAAAGCGUGGGUAGCAAACAGGAUUAGUACCCGAGUAGUC
rnacentral:rRNA from 1 species